rnacentral:rRNA from 1 species
GGGGAAUAUUGGACAAUGGGCGCAAGCCUGAUCCAGCCAUGCCGCGUGAGUGAUGAAGGCCUUAGGGUUGUAAAGCUCUUUCGGCGGGGACGAUAAUGACGGUACCCGCAGAAGAAGCCCCGGCUAACUUCGUGCCAGCAGCCGCGGUAAUACGAAGGGGGCUAGCGUUGUUCGGAAUCACUGGGCGUAAAGGGCGCGUAGGCGGCUUUAUAAGUCGGGGGUGAAAGCCUGUGGCUCAACCACAGAAUUGCCUUCGAUACUGUAGAGCUUGAGACCGGAAGAGGUAAGUGGAACUGCGAGUGUAGAGGUGAAAUUCGUAGAUAUUCGCAAGAACACCAGUGGCGAAGGCGGCUUACUGGUCCGGUUCUGACGCUGAGGCGCGAAAGCGUGGGGAGCAAAC